UAUUCAUCUGCCCUUUCUAUUGGGAGGUGGCAGUCCCCACCCCAGACUCAUAAUGAGCGUAAUCAAAAGAACCUGCCUAUCUCCAAGCAUUGCUCGGCCCUGCUCACCCCAGCUCGAGGGCCCCGCUCAACUACCUCAGCUGGACGCCUGCUACCGCCGUCGCUAAGAGCAGCCAAAUGUCGAACCAAAGAGUCACCACUCUUCUCUGUUUUGCACCGCAAUGGUAGCACGAGCGCCCUGCCGACGACUCAGGACCGCAGAGGCGCUCACCAGCUCCCGCUAGAGACUCGAGACUCACCUGUUCAGAGUUCACAUGGACUCUGCAUCGCCUCCCCCCUCACCGCCCGUCUCCUCCCUUACUCUCCUAAAAAAUACCCCUCUUAUGCGCUCUUUGCAUGUUUGUACGUCCUGGCACAUAAAAAUAGUGCUUAGCAUUGUGUAGCAUCUUAUCCAACAAAUGCUGAAAUAUUUAGCUGUAUAAUUAUUUUCCUGCGUCAGUCUACAGUUUCGCGGGGAUACGUCCUUCUUUGAGAUUAUCUCCAAAAGCUUUGCUGACAUCGUUAGCACUCUUGGAUGGUAAACAGCGAACCCAGGCGUAUUUUGAAAACACAUCGAUACACAGAAAACGCACACCAUUUUAGGGUGAAACCAUCAUAUCCACCUGAUCAGCCAGGAAGUGCUUAUCUACACCGCUAAACACUGCUCAAGGUAUCUGACCCUCGCUAUGUUUGAGGACCGAUCGUAGAUAAUUAGCUGUAGUGUUUUGCACAUCCUCGGCUUAUUCAGUCUGAUGUGCUCUUUGUGGCUUAGGUCUUUGUGACUUAGGCCUUUGUGACCUAGGUCUUUAUGACUAUGACUACGGUCUUUGUGACUUAGGUUUGUGUGACUUAGGUCUUUGUGACUUUGAUCUUUCUGACUACCGUCUCUGGACUACGGUUUUUGUGAAUACGGUCUCUGUGACUACGGUCUUUGUGAAUACGGUCUUUAUGACUACGGUCUCUGUGACUUAGGUCUUUAUGACUCAGGUCUUUGUGACUGGGAUCUGUCACAUAUGACCGUGAAUGGCAAUACUGAGUUAAGGUUUGAUGACAGCGCUAUAAUCUAUGGCAGUAAACUGCUUAACAACGUAACCAGCACGUGUGUAGAUCCGGAGAAGCUGCCACUGUUGUAUGUGUGUUGUUCACCAGCAAAUAAAGCUGUGUUGUAAAAGAAACCUCGACCCUCAAUCAUUCUACAGCGUCCAGCAGGAGGAUCUUGAUGGGGCUCCGUUCACAGCCUCACAUUAGUCCAUAAGGCAAAGCCUACUUGGGAUAUGUAUGUUAUUAUAACUCUAGUUCUAUGAUAGCUAUGUUGUAACUCUAGUUCUAACUCAUAGUUAUGAGUUAUGAGUUAUACAUAAUGAGUUACAGUUAUAUGAGUUAUAGAUAUUCAAUACAUUCAUUCAAUUGACAUAUUGUAUGUUUUUCUUUAAAACCAUAGAGUCAAAGGUUGAAAGGUGACCAACAGCCAAGAGCUAGUGAACCCUGUAGCACGAGAAACAGGAACCCCCAUAAAGAGGUGAUGAUGAUGGACCCAGACACUCAAGCAGGUUGGCAAUGAAGAAGCCUUUUAUGAGUGGGUUGCCACAUUAAAGAAUACAAAUACAAACUUUAAAGGAAGGCUUAGAUUGGCAGAUUAAACAUUGAAUCAUAAAACCACAAACCAAAUUCACACUCAUUUUAAACAAUUGAUAAUAUUGCGUCUGGUGGCAGAAAAUAAUUCAGCUCUUUCUAAAUAUCUGCAGAAUGCAAUUAUACAAGGUGUGUGUGUGUGUGUGCGUGUGCGUGGGUGGCACACACACGCCACCCCCCCCCACAUUGUCAUUCGAUUUUGACACAUGAUUGUAU